rnacentral:lncRNA from 1 species
CUCCGAUCCGCAAAUGGGAAGACGGAUUCUCAGACAAGGCUUGCGAAUGCCCCGCAGCCAUCAUUUAACUGCGCCUGCAGAGCAGUUAAGGUUUGUCACCCGACCCUGCCGGAUCGCCUCAUUUGUCUUUAGUGAGACCCCGAGGCUCUGCCCGCGCCGGGCUUCUCGGUAGCUGGAUGCAUGUCGUGCUGGGGCAGCGCGGGCGCAGGGCACGCGUUCGCGCACACCCGCGCACACACGAAAACGCGCAAGAGCUGAACCGAGCCGGGUUUCCAUUUCAAAAAAGGAGACAGCCUCUACUGCGAAUGUAGAAGAGACCGAGGUGUGAAUUAGGGACCAGGAGGCGUCGAUCGGCGGAACGGUCCAUCUCAGAGACUAAUUUUCUGGAGUUUCUGCCCCUGCUCUGCGUCAGCCCUCACGUCACUUCGCCAGCAGUAGCAGAGGCGGCGGCGGCGGCGGCGGCGGCUGCUCCCG